rnacentral:rRNA from 1 species
GAGCAUGCAGAAGUCUGACGGAGCACGCCGCGUGAGUGAAGAAGGUUUUCGGAUCGUAAAACUCUGUUGUUAGGGAAGAACAAGUGCCGUUCGAAUAGGGCGGCACCUUGACGGUACCUAACCAGAAAGCCACGGCUAACUACGUGCCAGCAGCCGCGGUAAUACGUAGGUGGCAAGCGUUGUCCGGAAUUAUUGGGCGUAAAGCGCGCGCAGGUGGUGUCUUAAGUCUGAUGUGAAAGCCCACGGCUCAACCGUGGAGGGUCAUUGGAAACUGGGGAACUUGAGUGCAGAAGAGGAAAGUGGAAUUCCAAGUGUAGCGGUGAAAUGCGUAGAUAUUUGGAGGAACACCAGUGGCGAAGGCGACUUUCUGGUCUGUAACUGACACUGAGGCGCGAAAGCGUGGGGAGCAAACAGGAUUAGAUACCCUGGUAGUCCACGCGGUAAACGAUGAGUGCUAAGUGUUAGAGGGUUUCCGCCCUUUAGUGCUGCAGCUAACGCAUUAAGCACUCCGCCUGGGGAGUACGGUCGCAAGACUGAAACUCAAAGGAAUUGACGGGGGCCCGCACAAGCGGUGGAGCAUGUGGUUGAAUUCGAAGCAACGCGAAGAACCUUACCAGGUCUUGACAUCCUCUGACAACCCUAGAGAUAGGGCUUUCCCCUUCGGGGGACAGAGUGACAGGUGGUGCAUGGUUGUCGUCAGCUCGUGUCGUGAGAUGUUGGGUUAAGUCUCGCAACGAGCGCAACCCUUGAUCUUAGUUGCCAGCAUUCAGUUGGGCACUCUAAGAUGACUGCCGGUGACAAACCGGAGGAAGGUGGGGAUGACGUCAAAUCAUCAUGCCCCUUAUGACCUGGGCUACACACGUGCUACACUGGACGGUACAAAGGGCAGCGAGACCGCGAGGUUUAGCCAAUCCCAUAAAACCGUUCUCAGUUCGGAUUGCAGGCUGCAACUCGCCUGCAUGAAGCUGGAAUCGCUAGUAAUCGCGGAUCAGCAUGCCGCGGUGAAUACGUCCCCGGGCCUUGACACACCGCCCGUCACACCACGAGAGUUUGUAACACCCGAAGUCGGUGAGGUAACCUUUUGAGCCAGCCGCCUAAGGUGACAGAUGGGUACUCGACGGACGUGAUUUGACGGAAUACGGUUUACCCGGUACUACGGUGUGGACUACUGACUGGGAGGAGGGGGCAGGGAGUAGAGAGA